UACGUAGGGUGCGAGCGUUGUCCGGAAUUAUUGGGCGUAAAGAGCUCGUAGGCGGCUUGUCACGUCGGAUGUGAAAACCCGGGGCUCAACCCCGGGCCUGCAUUCGAUACGGGCAGGCUAGAGUUCGGCAGGGGAGACUGGAAUUCCUGGUGUAGCGGUGAAAUGCGCAGAUAUCAGGAGGAACACCGGUGGCGAAGGCGGGUCUCUGGGGCCGAUACUGACGUGAGGAGCGAAAAGCGUGGGGGAGCGAAACAGG
rnacentral:rRNA from 1 species